rnacentral:lncRNA from 1 species
AUGCCAUUUUCUGAUGGUGCGAGCACGUCUCUGCUUCCCAAACCUCCCCAAACCUCCCCAAACCUUCCCAAACCUUCCCAAACUGUCCUGGCACGGGGUCCCUGCGGGGUGNNNNNNNNNNCCUUCCCAAACUGUCCUGGCACGGGGUCCCAGCUGCGCUUCCUCCCUGCGGGGUGUUGGGGAAAGCGCGGCGCUGUGCCCGUGGCGUGGCGUGCCGGCAGAUGGCAGCCCCAGCGUGGGUCCUGGCUGUCACCACGGGCUGGCAGCGCUGGCACCGCGCUCCCUCCGCUUGGGGCAGGACCCUCAGCUGGGGCUGUGUGGUGUCACUGUCCCCCGUUGUCACCCCUCGGGGACACAGCUGAGCCCCCCAAUCCUUCACCAUGCUCCCAGCACCACCACCUCACCCUAUAUCCCUGCCAUUCCCCGGGCAGGAUCACUGCCCCAGCCUCAUCCCCACACCAAAACCGACCCCGCACCGGGGAUAACGCCCCCCCCAGUGCCCCCUGCUCCCACCCUGAGGACCGGGGAGCGCUCCUGGCACGGCACAGCCCACGUGCGCCUGCGGCCGCUUCACCUGCGCAGCACAAAGGCAGCGCUGUUCGGCCUCCCCGUGCCACAGCCCCAGCACAAAGCGCUGCCUGUUGCAGCGGGGCCGCCCCGCGCCCUGUGGCCGGCGGUGUCCGGGGGCUCCCGUGGUGCCGGGGGGGGGGGCCGGGGGCACCGGUGGCAGCAGGGACAGCACGGCCAAAACCAGCCCCGGUGCCCUUGCGCAGGGCUGAACGGGGACAGCGUCUGCGCGCCCUGGUUUUGGGGUGUUUGUUGCCCCCAGGGCUGUCUCCUCUGCGCCCCCCCAGCAAGGCGGUGCUGUGCCAUGGCUGGAUGCGUGCUGGGGACCGCGGUGUCCCCAUCCUGGUGUCCCCAUCCUGGUGUCCCAAGGGGCAGCUGCUGCUUGCCCAGCCUGGCUCCAGGCCCACGGGGGACACGCUGCAUGCCACGUGGUGCCGGCGGCAGGGAGGAGGGCACGCUGCCGUGGUGGCAGCCCCGGGGACCUUGAGCUCCUGGCGCUGCCUGGAGACGUCCCCGCUGCCUGCUGGCGCCAGGCAAACACGGGUGACGCAGCACGGCCCCCGGGGGCACCGGCAGCUCCCGCAGCAGGGCCGGGCACCUGCUCCUGCUGCGCACCCCGGUAGCACCCACGGACGUCCCCAACCUUUGGGCACCGACCCUUGCCGGGGCUGUGCCACGUCCCCGCAGCUGGUGGCGUUCCCAGUAGCGAGAGGGAAGGCGCUGGCAGGGCUGGGGCACGGCGUGUGCGUGCCAAAAUCCCGCGCGGGGCACGGUGCUCUCAAGGAGAGCGGGUCACCCGCCUCCCCCAGCCACCGCCACGGAGCCAUUUCAGGCCCUGAAUAA